rnacentral:ncRNA from 1 species
GCGUCUUGGUGCUUUCAUGUUGAAAGAAAAGGGAAUCCGGUGAAAUUCCGGAGCUGUCCCCGCAGCUGUAAAGUCAUUUUCCGUCGUAUAGGCGGAUCUUUUCAUAAGACCACUGGUGAAACCGGGAAGGGGAAAAGAUGACAAGCCAGAAAACCUGCCAGUUGAU